rnacentral:rRNA from 1 species
AUCUGCAGCCAUGCCACCCUGAACAAGCCCGAUCCCGUCUGAUCUCGGAAGCUAAGCAGGGUCGGGCCUGGUUAGUACUUGGAUGGGAGACCACCUAGGAAGACCAGGUGCUAUAGGCG